GUAUUAUCUCUAGUAAUAGGAUUACUCAACAAACUCAAUAUGCAGUUGGUUGACUUUUUAGAAUAUCUAUGGAGCUGAACAGCCAUCACUUAAUCCAGUACAUUUCAGCACACUGAAAUCACUUAGCCAGAAACUUCUCCACUCUCCCAAGUCUAAGGGGAACAUGUUCAUCAGAUGUUUAUGGCAGAAAACUGCCUUUUUGAAUUCAAGUCUUCUUUGAUGUGCCUUUCCUAAGUAGAGCUAGUUACCUCUGCAAUAUCUAAAGGAAAAUACAGAUAAUCCAGGUCUUUCAGCCUUUACCCUUAGCAUUUUCCCCUAAAGGAUUAUAUAGAACCCUUGUAAAGUCUGUUGUUGGUUUAAAUUGUUUUUAAGACUAAUAAACGAUGGCAAGAGAAAAUCCCCGUGACUCUGUUGGGGAGUUUGGAGAGGGGAUAUUCUGGAGGGUAGUUUUGUUUUGUUAUAGUGUUUGGCCUUCUGGGGAAAGAUGUUGUGCUGUGGCAUAUUUUUCAUGAAACACGCUGGUCCCACAUGAGGCUCUGGGAGCAUGUCAGCCCUGUGACUGGCAUGAGCUCAUGGUCCUUCCACUGAGGAAAGCCAGGGGAAGUGGUGCCAGCACUUAGUGCUGCCCUGAGCGAAUGCCUGCUGGCUCCAUGGUAAACACAGGCCUUUUAAUAGGCUGGAGACAAAGUGACAUUCGGAAGAAACAACAUGUCGACAAUUUCCUUAAUAAAUUUUGUAGGAACACAUUAUUUCCACCUGGUGGAAAUGUAGCUCUCUUAAAUAAUUGAGAGGCUGCAUUCAUCAGUGUAACGGUCAACGAAGAUCUCUGUGAGCUAAGGCAGCCCACAGCCCUUUGCAGGACUGGGUAAUUGAUAUUUUACACAAGUGGCCCAGCUAGUGCUCAGAAUGUGUGUGUCAUCCCACAGUUCCACUCUCUGCUCACGGCUGUCCAAGCAGUGAGAGAACAUCAGAUUCUAGCUGCAGCCACUGUCCUGACCUGGAUUCUAAUGAAAAGCAAUGACACUGCAUGUUCAGUUCAUUUGAAUGUGCCACCUGAUAGUAACACAUGUUGAGAAAGCCAACAAAAUGUUGUGAAGUGUGCAGUGCAAGAAUGAGGGAGAGGUGCUGGAGGUGGUGGCAGUUGUGAAUAGUAAUACUGCAGACUUGAAGGGAAGUGAGAUGCACAGGGGAGGAAGAAAGGAAGGAUGCUGGGGAUACAGAGGAAAGAAGGAAGGAUGCUGGGGAUACAGAGGAAAGAAGGAAGGAUGCUGGGGAUACAGAGG
rnacentral:lncRNA from 1 species